UACGUAGGGAGCAAGCGUUGUCCGGAAUCAUUGGGCGUAAAGCGCGCGUAGGUGGCCCAGUAAGUCCGUUCUGAAAGUCACAGGCUCAACCUGUGAAAGCGGAUGGAUACUGCUGGGCUAGAGUCCGGAAGAGGCGAGUGGAAUUCCUGGUGUAGCGGUGGAAUGCGCAGAUAUCAGGAGGAACACCAACGGCGAAGGCAGCUCGCUGGGGCGGUACUGACACUAAGGCGCGAAAGCGUGGGGAGCGAACAGG
rnacentral:rRNA from 1 species